AUUGAACGCUGGCGGCGUGCCUAACACAUGCAAGUCGAGCGGUAACAGGUGUAGCAAUACAUGCUGACGAGCGGCGAACGGGUGAGUAAUGCUUCGGAAUCUGCCCAUGUAGUGGGGAAUAACCAGCCGAAAGGUUGGCUAAUACCGCAUACGACCCUUGCCCACAAGGCAAAGGUGAAAGCAGGGGAUCGCAAGACCUUGCGCUAUUGGAUGAGCCGAAGUCGGAUUAGCUAGUUGGUAGGGUAACGGCCUACCAAGGCGACGAUCCGUAGCUGGUCUGAGAGGACGACCAGCCACACUGGGACUGAGACACGGCCCAGACUCCUACGGGAGCAGCAGU
rnacentral:rRNA from 1 species